rnacentral:rRNA from 1 species
GAUGAACGCUGGCGGCGUGCUUAACACAUGCAAGUCGAACGGAAAGGCCCAGGCUUGGUGGGGUGCUCGAGUGGCGAACGGGUGAGUAACACGUGAGUAACCUGCCCUGCACUUUGGGAUAAGUCUAGGAAACUGGGGCUAAUACCGGAUAGGAGGUCGGGUUGCAUGGUGGGGGGGGGAAAUUUUCGGCGGUGGGGGAUGGACGCGCGGCUUAUGAGCGUGUGGGGGGGGUAGGGGUUCACCAGGGCUUUGGGGGGUCGCCGGCGUGAGAGGGUGAGGGGACAUAGUGGGACUGAGAUAGGGCACAGACUCCCACGGGAGACAGGAGUGGAGAAUAUUGCAAAAUGGGCGGACGUCAGAUGGAGAAACGCCGCGUGCGGGAUGACGCCUUUCGGGUUGUACACCGCUUGCGCCGGUGACGAAGCGUUAGUGACGGUAACUGGUAAAGAAGCACCGGCUAACUACGUG